GCCUGAAGAUACAGCCAAUUUCAGGACAAUUAUAAGCUGACAAAGCUCUCUGAGAUUCUGGAAGCAGCCUGGAAAUUUCACACACUGCC
rnacentral:lncRNA from 1 species